GACGAACGCUGGCGGCGUGCCUAAUAAAUGCAAGUCGAGCGGACUUAAAAAGCUUGCUUUUUAAGUUAGCGGCGGACGGGUGAGUAACACGUGGGCAACCUGCCUGUAAGACUGGGAUAACUUCGGGAAACCGGAGCUAAUACCGGAUAAUCCUUUCCUACCCAUGAAGGCAAGCUGAAAGACGGUUUACGCUGUCACUUACAGAUGGCCCCGCGGCGCAUUAGCUAGUUGGUGAGGUAACGGCUCACCAAGGCGACGAUGCGUAGCCGACCUGAGAGGGUGAUCGGCCACACUGGGACUGAGACACGGCCCAGACUCCUACGGGAGGCAGCAGUAGGGAAUCUUCCGCAAUGGACGAAAGUCUGACGGAGCAACGCCGCGUGAGUGAUGAAGGUUUUCGGAUCGUAAAACUCUGUUGUUAGGGAAGAACAAGUACGAGAGUAACUGCUCGUACCUUGACGGUACCUAACCAGAAAGCCACGGCUAACUACGUGCCAGCCGCCGCAGUAA
rnacentral:rRNA from 1 species